GAUGAACGCUGGCGGCGUGCCUAAUACAUGCAAGUCGAGCGAACAGACGAGGAGCUUGCUCCUCUGACGUUAGCGGCGGACGGGUGAGUAACACGUGGAUAACCUACCUAUAAGACUGGGAUAACUUCGGGAAACCGGAGCUAAUACCGGAUAAUAUAUUGAACCGCAUGGUUCAAUAGUGAAAGACGGUUUUGCUGUCACUUAUAGAUGGAUCCGCGCCGCAUUAGCUAGUUGGUAAGGUAACGGCUUACCAAGGCAACGAUGCGUAGCCGACCUGAGAGGGUGAUCGGCCACACUGGAACUGAGACACGGUCCAGACUCCUACGGGAGGCAGCAGUAGGGAAUCUUCCGCAAUGGGCGAAAGCCGGACGGAGCAACGCCGCGUGAAUGAUGAAGGUCUUCGGAUCGUAGAACUCUGUUAUUAGGGAAGAACAAAUGUGUAAGUAACUAUGCACGUCUUGACGGUACCUAAUCAGAAAGCCACGGCUAACUACGUG
rnacentral:rRNA from 1 species